AGUGAACGCUGGCGGUAGGCCUAACACAUGUAAGUCGAACGGCAGCACAGGAGAGCUUGCUCUCUGGGUGGCGAGUGGCGGACGGGUGAGGAAUACAUCGGAAUCUACUCUGUCGUGGGGGAUAACCUAGGGAAACUUACGCUAAUACCGCAUACGACCUACGGGUGAAAGCAGGGGAUCUUCGGACCUUGCGCGAUUGAAUGAGCCGAUGUCGGAUUAGCUAGUUGGUGGGGUAAAGGCCCACCAAGGCGACGAUCCGUAGCUGGUCUGAGAGGAUGAUCAGCCACACUGGAACUGAGACACGGUCCAGACUCCUACGGGAGGCAGCAGUGGGGAAUAUUGGACAGUGGGCGCAAGCCUGAUCCAGCCAUACCGCGUGGGUGAAGAAGGCCUUCGGGUUGUAAAGCCCUUUUGUUGGGAAAGAAAUCCAGCUGGCUAAUACCCGGUUGGGAUGACGGUACCCAAAGAAUAAGCACCGGCUAACUUCGUGCCAGCCGCCGCAGUAA
rnacentral:rRNA from 1 species